UACGUAGGGUGCAAGCGUUGUCCGGAAUUAUUGGGCGUAAAGAGCUCGUAGGCGGCUUGUCACGUCUGCUGUGAAAACUCGGGGCUCAACCCCGAGCCUGCAGUGGAUACGGGCUAGCUAGAGUGCGGUAGGGGGGACUGGAAUUCCUGGUGUAGCGGUGAAAUGCGCAGAUAUCAGGAGGAACACCGGUGGCGAAGGCGGGUCUCUGGACCGAUACUGACGCUGAGGAGCGAAAGCGUGGGGAGCGAACAGG
rnacentral:rRNA from 1 species